rnacentral:rRNA from 1 species
UACGUAGGGAGCAAGCGUUGUCCGGAAUCAUUGGGCGUAAAGCGCGCGUAGGCGGCCCUGUAAGUCCGUUGUGAAAGUCAAAGGCUCAACCUUUGAAGGCCGAUGGAUACUGCAGGGCUAGAGUCCGGAAGAGGCGAGUGGAAUUCCUGGUGUAGCGGUGGAAUGCGCAGAUAUCAGGAGGAACACCAAUAGCGAAGGCAGCUCGCUGGGACGGUACUGACGCUAAGGCGCGAAAGCGUGGGGAGCGAACAGG